CUACAUAGAUGGGUGCUGUCACUAACUAUCCAGGUGCUAUAUUUGGAAACUUUGGGGGAGGGUCCCUCUUGAUGCCUCAUUUUCUUUCUCUUUAUCAUAUCCAGUCACUCUUCAAGUGCUAUCUAUGUCUUCUCAAAAAUAGCUACAGAAGAUAUGGAAAGCAUUUACAUAUUUCUGUUUUCUCUAUCAUUGCUUUAGCACAAGUAACAGCUGCCCAUCCAGUAGGCUGAAGCCUAUGAAGUUGGUUUUUGUUAGACAAAAAUGUUUUUGUUAGACAGAAAUAUUCAUAUAUGCACAAUUUGAGUAUUUCAAGGUAAAUAUUUUUUUUCUUUUUUCCUAAUCUAUUUGUUUCACAUUACAGUAAGAGGAAUAUUUCAAAAAUACAAAUAUAAUCGUAUUUCAUCCUUGUUAGCCCCCUUCAGUGGGUUUCCAUCAUCCUCAUGAUAAUGUCUGAAUUCCUUUCCAUGACCUAUAAGGUCCUAUGUGAGCUAGUCUCUAUUGAUUUCUUUAGCAUCCUUCUUUGGUAAUUUACAUCUUUGCAAUUUUUCUCAUCUUGUCUCUCGUCUUUCAAAUAUAUCUUCCAAAUGGGCUGUCUUCACUACCUCUUUGUUUUGCUGAAUCCAAUUCAUUUUUUAGUGUUCAAGGUAUCUACCCCUUUCUCUGAUUCGUCGUGUGAGUUAGAAGCUUUCCUAGGUGCUUCUGUAGCACUUAUCACAAUGUAUUUAAUUUCAUAUUGGCUUUUUAAAAAAAUUUUUUUAUUGUUAUUUCCCCAAUACAAUUUUUUUUCUACUGUACAACAUGGUGACCCAGUCACACAUAGAUGUGUACAUUCUUUUUUAAUCUCCUUUACUCAAUACCUUCUUGGGCAAGUUACUUAUUUUCUCACGUUAGCCUCAGUUUCCACCUCGUAAAGAUGAGGACCUGGUGAGAAUUGAAUUAUAGGGCUUUUUGGCAGGCUAUUCUUAUUUUAGAUCUUUGGAUUUCCCUUCCGCAUCUACUUCCUUAAGACUUCUUUAUUUCCUUUCAUUUGGGAGAUUUAUUUUCUCCCUGGUCGAGAUGAAGUUAUAUAUGCCUUAUGUAGGAAGAAUAGAAGAGGUUGGGAAACAAAAUGGAGUCACUUUUCCAACCUGCUGGCAACUCACAUCCCUGGAACUGGAUUUAGACAACUAUAGAGGGGGGCAGCAGUGGUGAGACUCUUCAGGACUGUGCUGUAUUUAGGUGAUAAAGAGUUUGAAAGGAGACUUUGUGCCCUCUUGCACGGGGCCUAGUAUUUUGUGACUCUCAGAGGACUGGGACCUUAAAUUUGCCAGGCUCAGGUUAUAGGGAUUUAUUGUGAGACUACACCUGGCAGUGAGGAAGGCAGCAUUUAUCCCAUGGGAAUAAAGAACAGGAAACAUAACGUGUUGGCCUUUGCAGAGACUAGAACUAGAUUCAUGAAUCUGUAAGGGACUUCCAUUUUAUGUAUUUUUAUUUUUGCAUUCUCCUGUUAAUGGCCCUCCAAAACAUCCUUAAGAUUGUUUUUGGUUGUUUUUUCUUUUCUUUCUUUUCUUUUUGUCUUCUCUUCUUCUCUGCUGCUAGCUGUUUUAUGCAUUUUCUACUCUGUAUGUCCUUUUAUCUAUGUCAAAGCUUUAAUCUAGUCAAAACAUCUAUUCAUAGCUGAAAUUAUCUUCAUUAUACCUUGGAAGAAAAGACCAAAAAGGAAGCCAGCUCAUCAUUUGACUUUGAAGUUAAUUUUUAAUUCUGUGCCUCUGCAAGCAUUACUGUUUUUACUCAUUUAUUCAUUCAGUUACUUUGUUCAGCAGAUAAUCACUGAGUGCCUUCCACAUUUUUUGCACUCUUUUUGGUACUAGUAAUAAUACCUAGAUACUAUACACAUAAACAUCCCUGUACUCAAGAUAUUCACAUUCCAGCACUAUUCACACAACUGGGAGGUGGGGAAAAGGCUGACAUUGGAGUAGAAUUCUAGUAGUUCCUGCUAUGAUAUUACAUUGAAAGUGAUCAGCAAAGUAACAGAUGUGAACAUUCAGUCUGUUAGCUUAUACAUUUUCUCCCAUCAGACUGCUCUUACCCGUGUCCCAUUGCCAUACAGAACCACUCCAUUUCCCUAGGUCAUGAAAAGCUUAUCUGUGAAGUUAAUUUAUGGUCUAGGGAAUGCUAUGGAUUAAUUCAUAUUACAUCCAGUAUUGUUUUAUUUCAGCAAGGCGUUUCCCUCAUCUUAACUCCCUAACUUCAAAGCACCUCUGUGGAUAAUUUCAAAACUUUUUUUUUUUCAGGAUAGUAAGGAAGCAAUUUGGACAACAGACAAACUUUAAUUGUUUCCCAGAUCUCACCAUCUAUCUGGCUAAUUGGUAAAUACUCUCUUAAAAGCCCAACCAAACAAAAAAUACGUCAGAAUCAUUUCUGUUUCUCCACCAACUGUUGCAUAUGUCCCACAUUCUUUUUAGAAAGAAGAAACCACUGUGAACCUAAAAUAUUAUGAGAUUGUUUCCACAUUAUGCUCAUAAAAAGACCUAAAAUAUAGGUCUUUCUUGUGUUUGACAUUGUAAAGAAGCAGUCCCAGGGGAGAUCUUUACGUGAUGUUGGAGCCGUCAGCAGUUAAUAGCUGUUUAAGUACAGAGAGGCAACCCAGUUACAGCACUGCAUUACUUAUCAUCAACCUUUUCUACCAUUUCCUUUAGCAUUAUCUUACCAUAACUAUCAGCGCAUUGGACACCAAGAUUCACCACACUGGGAAUUACUGGCAGCUUUGUGGGCAGAGCAAGCUUUCGAAAGCAAGAGAAGCCUUAAAUCUUAGUGUUUUCCAGCUGUCAUUCUCCUGUCAAGGCCCUUUUAAAAGGGGUUUGGGGUUCUCCUUUACAUUACAUAUGCAUGACUUCCAUUAGUGUUAAUCACAUGCUCCAUUUUAGAGCUGUUUUGGCCCCUCCGGUUAAAUGGGCGUUUAAGCAGUUUUUAAUGCAUUAUAUGUACUUAUUUUUUAAACGAGUAUUAUAUGCCCAAUUGACUGGAAUGAAUACAAAGUCCAUCAGGUGAAUACAGAUUUAUAAUUGUUUUUAAAGCAUGUAUUAUUUACUCAACCAACCAUGACAGCCCUUUUGGAGUCAUUCCAGCUGAGAGGGGAACUACAUGUAUAUGUCAAUACAAAAUAAGCCUUUAUGAAAUCUUUUAGUGAGGUUUUCUCAGUUAAGCUUAAAGCUUAUCUGGCUAAUCAUUUCCUCUCAAUUUCUCCCUCUCUCUUCACAACAAAUUCUCAAAAUAUUGUUCACUAUUUUAGCUUGCAUUAUCAUUGUCAUUGAACUAGAUGAAAGCUAUGCAAAGCCCCAUUCAGUUCAAAUAAACUCAACAAAUUCAACAAGACAUAUGGUGUCUGCAUGGCAUUAAGCUCUGAUACUGAAAAAGAAAAAAGAUAUGCUCAGUUCACAAGUCACAUGUAAUUGACCUACAUAAAUUGUAGAAUUUAAUAAAUUAUUUCAUUUUACAAAUUAUCUAAUCUGUCUAGAAAUGGCUAUAAGUAGGCAGACUGAAAAGAAAUUAAAUAACAUUCCUUGUUCUCUUUUUAGACAUACAAUUUAACUCUGCUUUUCUUUCCUAGCAUUAAACGUGUUCUGUAUAUUUUCUUCCUUCUCGAGUAAGAUUAUUCCAAAAUUGUUUUCCAAACCUUUAAUAUAUUUUGAUAUUUGUAGCAUCUUCACUUUUUACUGUAAUAGUAGAUCGCCUAUAUAAUAGGACACUAGAAUUUAUUUUUGUUAAUUCUUAAGGCUACAGACAGAUGUAACAUGCAGUUUUAGGGAAUGUGUUCAGGCCCAUGUGCCAAAUGAAAUAUGAUUGCUCUAGACCGUGGUGAAACCUUGUCCUGUAGUUAGUAGAAUUGAAACCUGUAUUAGCUGUGAGAAGGAAAUGUCUUGCUUAUUACCAGAAAAGAGCAGCAUAUAAAAUUUCAAUUUCUGACAAUAAAAUUUAAGUUUUGAAAGUUCAGUUGUACUUUAGGAAGACCUUGCCAUUCUUUGAAGUUCAAAAAUGAAUGUACAAGAAAGACUGUAUUCCCUAAAGCAACCAAGAGUAAUCCUUUCUGUAACGUAUACAUGUGAAGAUUGUUCUUGGGGUGAAUGCUGUAGUCUUUGUUCCUAGAAACUGACCAUGUUUGCCAUCCUGCCUUAGACUUGAGGUCAGUCUGAGACUCUUGCUAGUAGAGGCUUCCCAGAUAGCAGAACUCUCAACUUAGGUGUGCUGUUGGCUGCUGCCAUUGUCCACUUACUCUUAAGGGGACCAUUUGUUGAUGGUUCAUAAGAGCACCCUUGGGUGUUCUUGUGUGGCUUUCACAGAGGGAAGCUUCGUUAUGACAGUGUGGCUUAGAAAGUAGGCAGCAAUGUGUGGAAUAGUUUCUCUUUAUUUGAAAAAAAACAAACAAACUUACCUUCACCAGAUGUGCCGUUGGAGAAUUUUAAUGAAGUAGGGUGAGCUCAGAUAAUUAAAAAAAACCCCAACAUUGUUGAAAUUCUCAAAGAAUAGAUAAAUAGAAAGACCAGUAAUUUGUAUCUGUAUGACUUAAUUAGAGAUAAAUGCUUUUCCCUGUCUGAUAGCAAGGGCUGUUUAACUUAAUAUUGUUACAUAUUUUAUAUCAUUCCUUUUCUUUGAGUUUUCUUAUUAUUUAGCUUUCUUAGUCAAGCCUGUCCCUCUUUUCUUUUCUCCUUUCUUUCCCUCUCCUUCCUUCCUUUUUCCUUUUCUUCCAUCCUUCCUUUAUUUCUUUCUUUCUUCCUUCCUUCCCUCCCUCACUCCCUCUCUUCCUUUCCUUCUAUUCUCUUCUUCCACAGAUACUGAUAGUAAAUUUGCUACAUGAAUUAGACUCUAAAUGAUAUAUGACUCAAGUUUUUAAAUACUUCAUAGUUUAAUAAGGACUAUGUAC
rnacentral:lncRNA from 1 species